UACAGAGGGGGCAAGCGUUGUUCGGAAUUACUGGGCGUAAAGGGCUCGUAGGCGGCCAACUAAGUCAGACGUGAAAUCCCUCGGCUUAACCGGGGAACUGCAUCUGAUACUGGAUGGCUUGAGUUUGGGAGAGGGACGCGGAAUUCCAGGUGUAGCGGUGAAAUGCGUAGAUAUCUGGAGGAACACCGGUGGCGAAGGCGGCGUCCUGGACCAACACUGACACUGAGGAGCGAAAGCCAGGGGAGCAAACGGG
rnacentral:rRNA from 1 species